rnacentral:rRNA from 1 species
GUCCACGCCGUAAACGAUGAGCACUAGGUGUCGCGGGUAUUGACCCCUGCGGUGCCGACGCUAACGCAUUAAGUGCUCCGCCUGGGGACUACGGCCGCAAGGCUAAAACUCAAAGGAAUUGACGGGGGCCCGCACAAGCGGUGGAGCAUGUGGUUCAAUUCGACGCAACGCGAAGAACCUUACCUGGGCUAGACAACGGAGGCCCGCCCCAGAGAUGGGGCUUUCCCUUCGGGGACUUCCGGUUCAGGUGCUGCAUGGCUGUCGU